UACGGAGGGUGCGAGCGUUGUCCGGAAUCACUGGGCGUAAAGGGCGCGUAGGCGGUCCGGUAAGCGUGUGGUGAAAGCCCGGGGCUCAACCCCGGGUCUGCCGUGCGAACUGCCGGACUCGAGCACUGUAGAGGCAGGUGGAAUUCCGAGUGUAGCGGUGGAAUGCGUAGAGAUCCGGAAGAACACCAGUGGCGAAGGCGGCUCGCUGGGCAGUGGCUGACGCUGAGGCGCGACAGCGUGGGGAGCAAACAGG
rnacentral:rRNA from 1 species